CAGCAGCCGCGGGAAUACGAAGGGUGCAAGCGUUAAUCGGAAUUACUGGGCGUAAAGCGUGCGUAGGUGGUGGUUUAAGUCCGUUGUGAAAGCCCUGGGCUCAACCUGGGAAUUGCAGUGGAUACUGGGUCACUAGAGUGUGGUAGAGGAUAGUGGAAUUUCCGGUGUAGCAGUGAAAUGCGUAGAGAUCGGGAGGAACAUCUGUGGCGAAGGCGACUAUCUGGGCCAACACUGACACUGAGGCACGAAAGCGUGGGGAGCAAACAGGAUUAGAUACCCCGGUAGUCCCUGUCUCUUAUAC
rnacentral:rRNA from 1 species